CCUACGGGGGGCAGCAGUGGGGAAUAUUGCACAAUGGGGGAAACCCUGAUGCAGCGACGCCGCGUGAGCGAUGAAGUAUUUCGGUAUGUAAAGCUCUAUCAGCAGGGAAGAAAAAGACGGUACCUGACUAAGAAGCCACGGCUAACUACGUGCCAGCAGCCGCGGUAAUACGUAGGGGGCAAGCGUUAUCCGGAUUUACUGGGGGUAAAGGGAGCGUAGACGGUCCUGCAAGCCAGAUGUGAAAGCCCGGGGCUCCACCCCGGGACUGCAUUUGGAACUGUCAGGCUAGAGUGUCGGCGAGGCAGGCGGAAUUCCUAGUGUAGCGGUGAACUGCGUAGAUAUUACGAGGAACCCCAGUGGCGAAGGCGGCCUGCUGGACGAUGACUGACGUUGCGGCUCGAAAGCGUGGGUAGCAAACAGGAUUAGAUACCCGGGUAGUC
rnacentral:rRNA from 1 species